AUCUAUGCCAGGGGUCAGCAAACCAUGGCACUCAAAGUACCUUUGUACGGCACAUGACUGCCAGAGAGACAAACACGCUCUGGCCUAUCAGGAGUCCCAGUAGGACUUCAGAUAUCUGCUAGUGCAAACCAAGUGCUUGCAGGUGGUGAGGGACAAUCCUCAAUUUACGCAUUGCGGCACUUGUGAACGAGAAUCCGCACUGGAGUAG